AAUAAAUUUUUUAUGAUUUAAAAAGUUUAAUUUAAAUUUAUUUUACAUGUAAAUUUUAGUAUGUAUUUUUAAUUUAUUUUAAAAAUUUUUAAAAAUUAAUUUAAUAGUAAUUAAUAUUAAAAAUUUAAGAAAUUAAGAUUUAGUAAUAAUUAAUAAUUAUUAACAAAUUUUGUGCCAGCAGUUGCGGUUAAACAAAAAAUAAUUUAAAUUUUAUUAGUAAAUAAUAAAUAUUAAUAUUUUAAAAUUAAAUAUUAAAUUAUUAGGUGAAAUUUUAUUUUGAUUAAAAUUUUAAUUAAUAAUUAUGAUUUAUAAAAUUUUAUUAAAAACUAGAAUUAGAUACUCUAUUAUUAAAAUUUAAAUAAAAAUACUAAAAUAGUAUAUAAUUAUUUAUUGAAACUUAAAUAAUUUGGCGGUAUUUUAGUUCAUUUAGAGGAAUCUGUUUAAUAAUUGAUAGUCCACGAAUGAAUUUACUUAAUUAAUAUAUUUUGUAUAUCGUUGUUAAAAAAAUAUUUUUUAAUAAAAAUAAUAUUUUAAAAUUUUAAAAAUAAAUUAAUUCAGAUCAAGAUGCAGAUUAUAAUUAAGAAUAUAAUGGAUUACAAUAAGAAAUGAUUAUAUGGAUAAUAUUUUUUAAUAUUUAUUUGAAGGUGGAUUUAAAUGUAAUUUUAUUUAGUUUAUUAAAGUGAUUAAAAAUUGAAAUAUGUACAUAUUGCCCGUCGCUUUCAUUAAUAAGUUGGAAUAAGUCGUAACAUAGUAGAAGUACUGGAAAGUGUUUCUAGAAAGAU
rnacentral:ncRNA from 1 species